CUCGUAGGCGGCUUGUCGCGUCGUCCGUGAAAACCCACAGCUCAACUGUGGGCUUGCGGUCGAUACGGGCAGGCUAGAGUUCGGUAGGGGAGACUGGAAUUCCUGGUGUAGCGGUGAAAUGCGCAGAUAUCAGGAGGAACACCGGUGGCGAAGGCGGGUCUCUGGGCCGAUACUGACGCUGAGGAGCGAAAGCGUGGGAGCGAACA
rnacentral:rRNA from 1 species